rnacentral:rRNA from 1 species
GAAGAAGAAGAAAAGAAGAACCAGCACCGUCCCCUCUCCUCUCCUCUCUCUCCGUCCCCGCGCUACAGUUACGGCACCCGCUACUGGCACAGGCAGCACCUGUACCACACCCUCCAGGACCGCGACACCCACAGCAGGACGGAGCGGCCGCGGUGGCGGCAGCGGGCGCGGAAGGCCUGUCCCCUGGAGCAGCCUAGGAAGGCCGGGCCGUAGAUUGCGAGGAGCUACAGAGAGAAGCGCGUCUAGCUAGCUAGGGCAGCGACGCCACGACGAAGGCAGCAGCUAGUUCAGCGACGUUGUCGUAGUAACAAAAACAAAUCAUAUCAAAAGACACACAGAUAAUAUAGUGCGCCGCCGUCACAUUGUAACCUGCUUUAAUAAAGAGAAGAUAAAGAUAAGAAAGUAACUACAUGUAUUGUUAAUUAUUAUGACCACCA